rnacentral:lncRNA from 1 species
UCAGAUUGUAUGGGACCUCACUGAAUCCAACAACAGAAAAACAUGAAUCCCAUGAAACUUUUGUGUAUUGAUCGAUUAAGUUUAUGUCCACUCAUGCCAGUGACAAUCGAAAACAUCAGGAACUUCUUUAAGGAAUAUUGUAGUUUAUUUGUCUGAUCAAGAGAGAAUAGUGGAGAAGAAGGUACCGGAGAGCACUGGUUGGAUGCUGUUCAAAAGUAUGGAAAUAGCCAGAAGAGGUGACAAAUCAGCCACGGCAUUGGCGACCUCAUUGUUCUCUGUGAAAAGAUAAGCGACACGCCCCUUGAAGAAGAGGAAGAACACAAAGAGAACAAAUCCAAUGGCGAACGAUGUGAGCACCGUAAUCUUGAUUGAGAACUUUGCUGCUCUUGAGCUCCCUCUUCCUAGUUCAUUAGAUACUCGAACGCUGGAAAAGCAUACAGACUUCAGAAACUUGCUAGUAAAGUGUGUGUCCAAAGUGAGAAUUAAUGGUCGAUAGGAGUCUUGACUCGUGAUUAUACCUUGCAGCAGCCAAGAAACCAAAAGAGAUCAUAAUCUCCCAACCACUGAUGUUGAGGCUGCAAGUAAAAAAAUUAUACUAUUUCAUCUCAGCGAAGUAGCCUUGGCUGAAGAAAUUUGUGUAAUCAAGGCAUUUCCCAAAUGUAAUGGAAAACAUCUAAGAGCAGAAAGAGCGGAAGUGCAAACACAAUUACCAGAUGGCGAGCGCAUCGAUAGAAACCUCUGCAUUUUCCAUGUUGCCUGUUAGAAGAACCAACACUGUGUUGUACCACAGCUCCAGACUGACAAUUAGCGAAGAAUAGGAAUUCAGUGAAAAUCUUGAAUGAAAAGAAAGGAUGCGCCACUAUUCACUUCUGAUGUGAGAUUUCAGGAAUCAGAUUUCUCCAUUUAUUCGAGAACAAAAGAUCGUCAAUUUCUAAAUUACCCAUCGGGCACAUAGAUACCAAAUGGUUAGGCCAACUAAACUAAUGCUGAUCCACCCAGAAACUUAUCAAUUAGUCUGAAUUCAAGAAUGAAAUCUCAUGUCUCGGCGAUGAAUGCUGACUUACCAUAGCAUGACGCCAGAUGAAAGCGAGAGCUUGAUCACUGGCCACAAGUCCUUGAAGGCCGAACUCGAGAAACCCUUCCAUGUAUCUCGGCAACCUCCGCACAUCACGAACAUUAGUUGUCCUAUAUUAGGAAUCCAAUAUGCCAAAACGGUGGAAGCCAUAGCGCCUAUAAUUCCUAACUUGUAUUUUGCAGUCAAUAGCCAUGAGAGGCAUAGAUGAACCACUGCCGAGAAUACCGCUACGUAUGCAAUGAUCAUGUUCUUACUUUGCGCUUGGAGAAACAUUUGGCAGGAGAAAGAUACGACCAAGGAAAAGAGGACCGGGAUCAACCAGGGCGAGAUGUCUCCAGCGACCUCCGCAAUUUUAUUUUCCUGGCCUAAGGCCUUUAAAAUUGGCGGGGUGAAGAUGAACAGCGGAACUUGAAAGAUGGAGCAGAUUGUUAGGACAAUCCAUGAUCUCUGGAGGUACACACCGAGCAUGUGGUAUUGUUUCGCACCAUAGGCCUGGCCACAUAGGGUCUCUAGCGCGCUUGCCAUACCCAGCUGCGAGUUCCACGAACAGAAGCUGUUGUAACUCAUUUUAAAACUCAAAUUUCUGGACAGCAUCAAGCGAACUACAUGACGAAAGGUUCCUGUGACUGGUAAAAGAGAUGCAGGGAGAUGUUUUUGGCGAAUUCACUUAUAAGUCUUGUAGGUCAUGCUCUUUUUCGACUAUAGCAUAGUAUUGUUUCGUUCGACGCCAAAGCCACAACGCAAAUGACCUAGGUUCAAUUCCAAACUCAUUUUGCUUGUUGCUCUUUCGAUUUCUAUAUGCCUUGUUCUCAUCACUGGCUUCAACAUAUUCAGAAAGUCAACCAAAGCUGACGAGCUGCUUCCAUGAGAAGCCAGUACCGGUAUAGUGCUUCGGGGCGGCUAUUCUAUGUUUGAGCAUUAUUACUUAAGGGACAUGAGACUGCUUUACGAAAAACAAUUUCAUUCAUUAUUCACUGUUGGGCUCAGCGACUCGUGCUUAAGAAGCAUCUAUAAACAAUACAUAAAGAGAUAAAAAAGCAAUUUUUUGCAAAUUAAAAAUGUUGACGUAAGAUGAACAACAGCGAGAUACCAUAUUACAUGAUUAUAUUAUAUCAAAAAAUUGACACCAAAAUAAUGGAAUACACGCUUAAACAUACCAGGAUGCCGUAUGCGAAUCUCGUUAGGACAGUGAAGACUAGAGAAUAGGCAGCCAAUUCGGUAGACCCGAUAUGGCCGACAAAAGCUUGGGUGAUGACAUAAAUACCAAAGGUGGAGAGUCUGGUGAAUAUUGCAGGCACUGCGACAAUCCACAUCUUCUUGGUCUCACUCCAUAUCCUGUCCUUCAGCGGCUCAUCCUCACCGCCAUCACUGACUUCCGCUGCUACUGAUUUUUUCAGCAGCUUCUGGUUUGCCUCUCCCUCCAUUGCCAUGGCUAGUUUUUAGAUCUAAUGUUCACCUUAUAUACCCAAGACAACGUCUCCUACUCCUGUAAACUACAAACACAGUUUGAAUCAAAUUAGGCAGUGAGGGAGUGGAUUUCUAGUGAAAGAGUUGCUUCUGGUGUAGAUAUGCCAAGAAUCAUGGCUUGUGACGAUGAGAACUGGCAAUAAAUCAGUUAAUAGUGAUGUUUGUGCGCUCACAUCGCAUGUUCAGAGUUGCAGGGCGCAUCUCUGCUGUGAUAACUAGACUCUCUUAGCUUGGUUCAGUCAAAAAAAUGAAAAAGAAAAAGAAAAGAAUAAGACCCUCUUAGCUUGGACAAAGCAAACGUACUUAUAAAGAAGUAAUAGCACUCAAAACUCGAACUGCAGAUACACCAACAGUCAAGAGUCAAGAUCUAAAAAUGGCAUGAAUAAGACAAACCUGUACAAUUAUUUCCAGCUCAAUAUAUCAACCAAUCAUCACCAAAAUUUGGUAUGGGAAAUAACAUGAUUGAUGGCACUUCCUUCUUUUGCUCAUGUCGAGAGACGCACGCACUAGAAAUUUAUCAAUGCAGUGUGGCCAUGUCAUUCUUAUAAAUGCAAAGUUGUUUUGCGCGAACCUAAAGCCAAGCUUUUCCAACAGUUAUGCCUCAGAUUUGACUAUUCUACAAAGUGGCAGAGCGAGAGUUGUAUUAUUUUUCAUUUGUUGGCAUGUUCAUAUGUGUAGUGGCCUGAAGGCAUCAGGAAUCUUGAUCGGCCCCACGACAACAACCAUGUCCUCGAUUGUCUCUUUGUCCAUCAUAUAUCAAAUGGUUCCCAUCAGUCACUCCACUGUUUUCUCUUGGCUUCACAUACAUGAAUUCUGAAGCAGAAACGUGAUGAAUUUGUUCAUUAUAAAAAAAUCUCCCUCUCUUGUCCUCUCUAGUUGAACGAUUAUGACGACAAACGUCAUUGUAACGAUCCAAUCCAAUGAUGGGCAGGGAGUGGCCGUCAGUGCUAGAAGAGUCUGGACAAGAAGUGGCUCUUGAUAGACUUCUAGGAUGGUGAAGAGUGGUAGGAAUACUAGACUAUGUAUCGAACAUGAAGGAGCAAUUAUGGAAUAUAUAUGUGAAAACCUAAAUUAAUUACGGAGGUGUCUUUUGAUGUAAUAACAAUCUUUCGUUUGAUUACCAGGAUGGGCGACCUUCUGGGAAACCUUAUGGGAAAGUGCCUACCUAUAGGCCAAAAGACAAAAUCGUGAGGCUUCGUUGGUUCACAUCCUUUCUAUAUGCAAUUUAUAUUCUUGCUUCCAACCUGCCACAUUUGAAUACUACACGAUGUUGCAUAUGCCGACUGAGGAUGUGGGUUUUUUCCCUUUUGGUUGUAAAACGGACCAGAUCUUUGCAAAUAUAUCGGGACACACGAUUGUCGUCUUUUACAGCAAUGAAGAAGAGAAGUCUCCCUCAACUUGUGCAGCUCGUAGCCCCACUCCUUAUUUAAUGUUGCAGCUGCGCGUGCAGGAAAAACCAAGGCAGCUCCUCCUGAUGCAGCCAGCGCAUGGAGAAAAGUUGAAGAUUCCAUUUCCCUCUAGUUUAAAAAAAAAACAAAAAGAAGAAAAAAAGAAGAAGAAAAAAGGUGCCGUCUCGUUUGUCUUUAACAGAAGAGAACAAAUCUCUCCCAUAUGAGAUCCAUGUCCAGCCUAUAAUAAUUGCAGCUCAUGCGCCUCCGAACAUUAAACUAUUUUAGAUCUGGUAACGCUGGAUGGAUGGAUCAAAUUUGAGACACAAUUUAACACUUUUGGUCCAAGAGCUGCUUGAAGAGCUAUUUAAAAAUUAGAGGGAGAAAAUACUAUAUUGAGGCAUGGACAAAACUCGCCGGUAUAAAAGAAUCCGUUUAUGUUUGAUGUCUCUUUGAUCAAGUCAAGCUUCGCAUCUUAUAAAGAGUUAGAGCCAAAAAUAUUGGUCAACUCGAUUGUCCUUUUAUAGUUCAAUAUUAACCAUGUAUAGAUUACAAUUUAACCCUAAGCCUUUCAAUUGUUCUAAUAUAAUCUUAAACUUUGAGGAAAAUUUCAAUGUAGUCCUCCUAACAUAAAUUUACAUGAAAUUGCUGAUGUGGCAGUUUAGUCAUCCUUGACCAUCCUUGUGGCACCUCAAAGAUAUGAUGUGGACAAAAAAUGUUGUUUUGCUUAAUUUUUAGAAUUUUCAAAUUUAUUUUUGUUUUUCCUUUUCUUUUAUUUUCUUAUGGUUACUACUCAUAUUUUUCUUUUCAAGAGAUCCUCUUCAACAUCUGAGAAUGCCAAUCCGGAAUUGAGAACACCGGUCGUCAACCUUUUGAGAACAAUGAUGUGCUCGGAGCUUCUAGUUCAGCUUGAAUUCGAGAAGCAUUGGACGAUAUCAUCUUGGCCCUAAUCGAUGGCAUGGUGAAGCAAUGUCUAGCUGUGCUCUUGUCAACUGAAUCCUAGGGCUCCCAAUAUGGGUCGCUCCGCUCUAGCACCUCCCUAAUCUCUUUAAUCGAACCCUCGGCAACAAGUCGAACCAUUUGGGCCUUAAGCUCCAUGCCACGGUAAAGGUCAAGUCGCUAGAUUUGGGGCUUGAGCUCAAUGCUGUGAUGGAGCUCAAGCUUGUUAGAAAAAAUUGCACAAUCAUAAAGAAAAUAGAUAGUAACAGCAAGAAAGAGGAUUUGAGACGCAAGGUUUUGUUCUGGCUCACCUUUAAACUAGCCUACGUCAAGAGCCGAGAAUUCUAUGAACUUCUUUGUUGCAUUCCUCAAUUACAAGAAAAAUAUAAUAUAUAAUUAUAUUCAGUAGCUAUUCAGCGAGACCCUCGUGCUUUGACAGGAAGUGUGGACCACACCCCAACAUAAUCACCAAUCAAUUGUAUGGCAAUUUGAUACCCAUCUUGUUAAAUUGACAACUUGAUACACAUCUUGACAGUUCCUUUGAUGGGAAUUGAGAUUUGUAAAUCUGAUACAGAACUUUUCGCUAUCUUCAAAAGAAGAACGGGAGAACGAGAAAAAGAUUGAAUCAAGCACCCGUGCUGGUAUUGUGUGAUGCUUCUUCAGCCACAAACAAUUGAUUAACGCGUUUUCGAGCUAGGAGUACCUGCAGAAGGACAUCGAGACUUGUCAAAAUAAUCAGGAAUUAAUGGAAAAUAAUAAUAUCCGGCACACCUGCUUAUCCCAAUCAGUUUUGUAGGUAAUAACGAUCAGUACUACAGUCUGAACGAAAGUUCUGAACAGCAUUCCGAUCCACACGCCCUACAAGACAGGUGAUUGAGUGCUAGGAAUUUCAAUUUUGUAGGUGCAGGUUAAAAGCUUCAGCCCAUUUUGACAUGCCUCACUAAUUGACAUGCAAAUUUGCCAAUGCAGACCGUCUUAGAAAGGAAAUUAGCAGCUGACCUUCACUUGCAUACUAAAGAAAUAAGCAAACGCAACUCCCACGGGAAUCCCUAUUAGGUAAUAGCUUAUGAUGUUGACAUAGGCUACUAUGCUCUGCCAACCAGCUCCAACGGCGACUCCUGAUAAAUAUAUGUCAAUACUAAUGUUCAAUCACAAUCAGGUACUAAUGAUUCGAUAUUAAUUCAUCACUUAUUGCUCACAUCAUACAAUAGAUCGCCAUAUUUCUCAGAUUGUAUGGGACCUCACUGAAUCCCACAACAGAAAAACAUGAAUCCCAUGAAAUUUUUGUGUAUUGAUCGAUUAAUUUUAUGUCCACUCAUGCCAGUGACAAUCGAAAACCAUCUGGAACUUCUUCAAGAAUAUUGUAGUUUUAUUUGUCUGAUCAUGAGAGAAUAGUGGAGAAGAAGGUACCGGAAAGCACUGGUUGGAUGCUGUUCAAAAGUAGGGAAUUAGCCAGUAGAGGUGACAAAUCAGCCACG